CAAGCCCAAAGGGUCAUUUCGUGGUUGAGGCUUCCAGGCGUUGCUGAAGUGGGUCAGGAACCCGGCCCGGCCUGACCAGCCUUAGGAGGCCCAGCAAAUUGAGGCCCACACGUUAGCUUUAGUCUCACUUCGACGGGAUGGUAUGGGCCCGAGAAGUGGAACACUACUGGAUGCCAAGAACUCUGACUGACUGCUGUGUGCCCCGGCACUGGCCGAACUGAAGGGGAGAAACCCAGCUCCGGCCCCUCACCUACAUCGCAGUCGAGGUCCCCUAGAGCUGUCGGGGACGGCACAGCCUUUGCAGCCCCUUCGCCUACCUCCGACUUGCCUGGAAGCACGGAACUGAUGGCCGGGAUUGUGGCGAGGCAAAACCCCCAUCUGAUCCCAUUGAGAUGGGGUCCUAUCGUGGCCAGGAGAAGGCCUCUUGCGAUAUCCGAUCGAGAGACACAUGGUCAGGGUUGUUAUCGCCCCCGAUCAAGGGCAACCCCAAUCCAAAUAUGCCAAAAGCUUCAGUUUGGGGGGGUGUCAGGGGAGCUAAGG
rnacentral:lncRNA from 1 species